UCCGGCUUAUCACCGGCAGUUUCCUCAGAGUUCUCGCCAUUACGCGUUAGCAACAGAGGACGAGGGUUGCGCUCGUUGCGGGACUUAACCCAACAUCUCACGACACGAGCUGACGACAGCCAUGCAGCACCUGUGCAUCUCCCACCCGAGGUGAAGGAGUCCAUUUCUGGAAACCACAGAGAGCAUGUCAAAGCCUGGUAAGGUUCUUCGCGUUGCCUCGAAUUAAACCACAUGUUCCACCGCUUGUGCGGGUCCCCGUCAAUUCCUUUGAGUUUUAAUCUUGCGACCGUACUCCCCAGGCGGGAUGCUUAACGCGUUAGCUGCGCCACUGAGAGGUAACCCCCCAACGGCUAGCAUCCAUCGUUUACAGCGUGGACUAC
rnacentral:misc_RNA from 1 species